rnacentral:lncRNA from 1 species
AUCAGAUAUAUCCAUUUCGGUUUGCUUGUCUGUGCGGGUGUGCAGGCUCUCUGAAUGACUGAGUGAAUUGGUGUGCCUUAUCCAUAAUCCUACCAACAAAGAAAUGACAAUAACAAUGAGCAGAGACUUGUUUUUGUAGAAAUUGCUGUAGAUAGUUCACUCCAUGCAUUGCAAGUUUUAUUCUUACUGUUCUAAGAAUAACUUCUCAAAUAAUGAAGUCCCAGAAGCACUGCAAGAAAACUCCAGCUGAAGGCCAAACACUAUUGGACAUGUGCUUUAAACCAUAAUACAUAUAAACUCAGAAUUGCAGAACUACAAAUUGCUAUGACCUGCCAUUGUGUAAUACAUACAGAAAACCCUUGAAAUGAAACCCAAUGGAAAGAUGGGAGUAUAUUGAGGGCAGAUAAAGUAAUGGAGAAAUGAAGUUGAAAAAUUUUUCCUUAAUUAAAUUGAGUUUUAAAGGAAGAUUUUUAAAACAGUAAAAAGUUACAAAUGACUGAAUUUAUAAAAAUUUCCAUUUGGAAACACUGAAUUUUAGUUUGGUUUUUGAGUGAUAAAAAAUUGAAUCCCUUGGAUUUCUAGGCUUAAUUCCUAUAAACAAGGCAACUAGAGAGCCUUAUUCAGUUUUGCUGAUGAAGAAAUUAAAAAUGUGGCCAGACUCUUGCAAAUUGAAUUUUUUUUUUUCUAAUCGGGUGGGACUUUAAACAUGACAGACUACAUCAACUUUUUCUGCUCUCCCCUCAAAGCUUUCUAUUUCUCUGUACACUACAAAUAUAUCUGUCAUUCAUUGGCAUUAUGCAUUUGUACGUUGAAACCUUGAGAUUUCUGUUCCUUGAAGUUUCCUGACUGUUUAAUCAGUCAGGUAAGUACAUACAAGCUGUUUAAAUUCAUGAAUACAAUAUGAAUCCCUU